rnacentral:rRNA from 1 species
UACGUAGGGGGCAAGCGUUGUCCGGAAUCAUUGGGCGUAAAGAGCGUGUAGGCGGCUUGGUAAGUCCGCUGUGAAAGUCCAGGGCUCAACCCUGGAAUGCCGGUGGAAACUGUCAAGCUUGAGUCCGGAAGAGGCGAGUGGAAUUCCUGGUGUAGCGGUGAAAUGCGCAGAUAUCAGGAAGAACACCCGUGGCUAAGGCGGUUCUCUAGUACGGUACUGACGCUGAGACGCGAAGGCGUGGGGAGCGAACAGG